rnacentral:rRNA from 1 species
UUAGGAAUCUUCCACAAUGGGCGCAAGCCUGAUGGAGCGACACCGCGUGAGGGACGAAGGUCUUCGGAUCGUAAACCUCUAAAACAGGGACGAACAAUGACGGUACCUGUUGAAAAGCACCGGCUAACUCCGUGCCAGCAGCCGCGGUAAUACGGAGGGUGCUAGCGUUAUCCGGAAUCACUGGGCGUAAAGGGCGCGUAGGCGGUCUACUAAGUCCGAUGUUAAAGACCGAGGCUCAACCUCGGCACGGCGUUGGAUACUGGUGGGCUUGACGGCUGGAGAGGCAAGUGGAAUUACCAGUGUAGCGGUGGAAUGCGUAGAUACUGGUAGGAACACCCAUUGCGAAGGCAGCUUGCUGGACAGCACGUGACGCUGAGGCGCGAAAGCGUGGGGAGCAAACCGGAUUAGAUACCCGCGUAGUCC